UACGAAGGGUGCAAACGUUGCUCGGAAUUAUUGGGCGUAAAGCGCACGUAGGCGGCUUUGCAAGUCCCAUGUGAAAUCCCACGGCUCAACCGUGGAAGUGCAUGGGAAACUGCAGAGCUUGAGUACUUAAGAGGAUCGCGGAAUUCCCGGUGUAGAGGUGGAAUUCGUAGAUAUCGGGAGGAACACCAGUGGCGAAGGCGGCGAUCUGGGAAGAUACUGACGCUGAGGUGCGAAAGCGUGGGGAGCAAACAGG
rnacentral:rRNA from 1 species